AACGAACGCUGGCGGCAUGCCUAACACAUGCAAGUCGAACGAGACCUUCGGGUCUAUUGGCGCACGGGUGCGUAACGCGUGGGAACCUGCCCUUAGGUUCGGAAUAACUCCCCGAAAGGGGUGCUAAUACCGGAUAAUGUCUUCUGACCAAAGAUUUAUCGCCUUUGGAUGGGCCCGCGUUGGAUUCGAUUGUUGGUAGGGUAAUAGCCGACCAAGGCGACGAUCCAUAGCUGGGCUGAGAGGAUGAUCAGCCACACUGGGACUGAGACACGGCCCAGACUCCUAUGGGAGGGAGCAGUGGGGAAUAUUGCACAAUGGGCGAAAGCCUGAUCCAGCAAUGCCGGGUAAGUGAUGAAGGCCUUAGGGUAGUAAAGCUCUUUUAACCGGGAUGAUAAUGACGGUACCGGGAGAAUAAGCCCCGGCUAACUACGUG
rnacentral:rRNA from 1 species